rnacentral:misc_RNA from 1 species
AACGCACGAGACCUGCGGACCUGCGGAAGGAUCAGCGUCAAGCGUAGUCGGCCCGCCGACGAUCGUCAAACCUGUGGAGCGAAAGCAUUCAUCGCCUCUGGGCGCUCUAAGCUUCAUGCAUUCGUCUGAAUAAACUAAAUAUAAAACUUUCAGCAACGGAUCUCU